GAAAUGCGAUACGCAAUGCGAAUUGCAGAAUUCCGCGAAUCAUCAGAUCUUUGAACGCAACUGGCGCUGAAAGGAUAUCCUUCCAGCAUGCUUGUUUCAGUGUCUAGAAAUCUUACAAAAACAUAAUGUGAUUGAAGUGGCAUUUUUAACUAAAUCCACAUCUCUCAUUAAAUAUGUAAGUGUGGAUCUUUUGAUCCAACGAAGUAGUCACAUAAUUUAUGUGAUUUCGUUGUGAAUUCAAAUUAUCCAAAAAAACACUUAGAAAACUAAAAAUUUCUUCAAUAUGCAUCUGAAAUCAAGCAAGGUUACCUGCUGAACUUAA
rnacentral:misc_RNA from 1 species